ACAUCGGUGACAGGUGGUUGGCAUGGUUGUCGUCAGCUCGUGUCGUGAGAUGUUGGUUAAGUCCCGCAACGAGCGCAACCCCUAUUGUUAGUUGCCAUCAUUCAGUUUGGGCACUCUAGCGAGACUGCCGGUAAUAAACCGGAGGAAGGUGGGGAUGACGUCAAAUCAUCAUGCCCCUUAUGACCUGGGCUACACACGUGCUACAAUGGUUGGUACAACGAGUUGCGAGUCGGUGACGGCGAGCUAAUCUCUUAAAGCCAAUCUCAGUUCGGAUUGUAGGCUGCAACUCGCCUACAUGAAGUCGGAAUCGCUAGUAAUCGCGGAUCAGCACGCCGCGGUGAAUACGUUCCCGGGCCUU
rnacentral:rRNA from 1 species